GCCUUGGUCAAUAGGAUAUCUGUCAACCGCCUUGUAAGCGGUAUGUCGCGAGUUCAAGUCCCGCAACCGGCACCA
rnacentral:tRNA from 1 species